rnacentral:misc_RNA from 1 species
GCAAACUUGGUCAUUUAGAGGAAGUAAAAGUCGUAACAAGGUUUCCGUAGGUGAACCUGCGGAAGGAUCAUCAUUGAAAAAAAAAAGGUUAAUUCGAGCCAAAAAAGAAAGAAAAAAUUCUUUUUUUGGCUUGCAAACAACAUAAAUACCCAAAAAGGAAGAAGAGAGAGAGAGAGAGAGAGGGAUUUCUCAAAUUUUUUUAGUGGUUGCCUGAUAUUAAAAAAAGUGUUUGGAAAAAGAGAAAAUAAAUGAAAAACAACUUUCAACAACGGAUCUCUUGGCUCUCACAUCGAUGAAGAACGCAGC